ACAAACUCUUGUAACAGCUAAGAACCGGAAAGGAUAAAGAAGCUGUUUUUCCAUUGCGGUCUCUUUCUUCUGAUUGGUCGUGAAGCGAGUUUUUCAAGAACAGAGACCCCAGAUUUUGCCCACAGGGGAUCUGGAAGACUCUAGCAUCAUAUCCUGUAGCAGAGCUUCCUGUUGAGUGCUCCCCCAUGUCCAACACCAAGGCCACUGAACACCUCUUCACCAACGUGCUGGUGAGUUGCAUGGAAUUUGGAUGGCCAGU
rnacentral:lncRNA from 1 species